CCUACGGGAGGCAGCAGUGGGGGAUAUUGGACAAUGGGGGGAACCCUGAUCCAGCGACGCCGCGUGAGUGAAGAAGUAUUUCGGUAUGUAAAGCUCUGUCAGCAGGGAAGAAAGAAAUGACGGUACCUGACCAAGAAGCCCAGGCUCACUAGGUGCACGCAGCCGCGGUAAUACGUAGGGGGCAAGCGUUAUCCGGAUUUACUGGGUGUAAAGGGAGCGUAGACGGCAGGGCAAGGCUGGAGUGAAAGGCAGGGGCCCAACCCCUGGACUGCUCUGGAAACUGUCCGGCUGGAGUGCAGGAGAGGUAAGUGGAAUUCCUAGUGUAGCGGUGAAAUGCGUAGAUAUUAGGAGGAACACCAGUGGCGAAGGCGGCUUACUGGACUGUAACUGACGUUGAGGCUCGAAAGCGUGGGGAGCAAACAGGAUUAGAUACCCGAGUAGUC
rnacentral:rRNA from 1 species